rnacentral:rRNA from 1 species
UACGGGGGGAGCAAGCGUUGUUCGGAUUUACUGGGCGUAAAGGGCGCGUAGGCGGCGUGGUAAGUCACUUGUGAAAUCUCCGGGCUUAACUCGGAACGGUCAAGUGAUACUGCUGUGCUAGAGUGCGGAAGGGGCAACUGGAAUUCUCGGUGUAGCGGUGAAAUGCGUAGAUAUCGAGAGGAACACCUGCGGCGAAGGCGGGUUGCUGGGCCGACACUGACGCUGAGGCGCGAAAGCCAGGGGAGCAAACGGG